GCUGAUGCGUUGUUGGGUAGGGGAGCGUUCUGUAAGCCUGCGAAGGUGACCUGUGAGGGUUGCUGGAGGUAUCAGAAGUGCGAAUGCUGACAUAAGUAACGAUAAAGCGGGUGAAAAGCCCGCUCGCCGGAAGACCAAGGGUUCCUGUCCAACGUUAAUCGGGGCAGGGUGAGUCGACCCCUAAGGCGAGGCCGAAAGGCGUAGUCGAUGGGAAACGGGUUAAUAUUCCCGUACUUGGUGUUACUGCGAAGGGGGGACGGAGAAGGCUAUGUUGGCCGGGCGACGGUUGUCCCGGUUUAAGCGUGUAGGUGUGUGUUCCAGGUAAAUCCGGUUCACUUUAACACUGAGGCGUGAUGACGAGGCACUACGGUGCUGAAGCAACAAAUGCCCUGCUUCCAGGAAAAGCCUCUAAGCAUCAGGUAACAUCAAAUCGUACCCCAAACCGACACAGGUGGUCAGGUAGAGAAUACCAAGGCGCUUGAGAGAACUCGGGUGAAGGAACUAGGCAAAAUGGUGCCGUAACUUCGGGAGAAGGCACGCUGACACGUAGGUGAAGUGAUUUACUCACGGAGCUGAAGUCAGUCGAAGAUACCAGCUGGCUGCAACUGUUUAUUAAAAACACAGCACUGUGCAAACACGAAAGUGGACGUAUACGGUGUGACGCCUGCCCGGUGCCGGAAGGUUAAUUGAUGGGGUCAGCGCAAGCGAAGCUCCUGAUCGAAGCCCCGGUAAACGGCGGCCGUAACUAUAACGGUCCUAAGGUAGCGAAAUUCCUUGUCGGGUAAGUUCCGACCUGCACGAAUGGCGUAAUGAUGGCCAGGCUGUCUCCACCCGAGACUCAGUGAAAUUGAACUCGCUGUGAAGAUGCAGUGUACCCGCGGCAAGACGGAAAGACCCCGUGAACCUUUACUAUAGCUUGACACUGAACAUUGAGCCUUGAUGUGUAGGAUAGGUGGGAGGCUUUGAAGUGUGGACGCCAGUCUGCAUGGAGCCGACCUUGAAAUACCACCCUUUAAUGUUUGAUGUUCUAACGUGGACCCGUAAUCCGGGUUGCGGACAGUGUCUGGUGGGUAGUUUGACUGGGGCGGUCUCCUCCUAAAGAGUAACGGAGGAGCACGAAGGUUGGCUAAUCCUGGUCGGACAUCAGGAGGUUAGUGCAAUGGCAUAAGCCAGCUUGACUGCGAGCGUGACGGCGCGAGCAGGUGCGAAAG
rnacentral:rRNA from 2 species